AAAGCUACUGAGGGUGCGUGGUGAAUGCCUAGGGACAAGUUGCCGAUGAAGGACGCGCAAGCGGCGAAACGCUCCGGGGAGCUGCACGAGAGCUUUGAUCCGGAGAUAUCCGAAUGGGGAAACCCCGUCAGGGUAAUGCCUGUCGACCCACACCUGAACACAUAGGGUGUGAGGAGGGAACCGGGUGAACUGAAACAUCUAAUUAACCCGUGGAAAAGAAAUCGAAGAGAUUCCGUAAGUAGCGGCGAGCGAACGCGGAACAGCCUAAACCAAGGGGUACGCCUCUUGGGGUCGUGGGGCCACCACUAAGCCCCUAAAGCCAUCGUUCUUGCGGAGACGCAGGGCCUAUGGAUUUGGGGGUUUAGAAACGAGUUGGAAUCGAGUUAGGAAAAGCGAGUUGGAAAACUCCGCCGUAGAGGGUGAGAGCCCCGUAUUCAAACUCUCGAUUCGAAUUCAGGGGGUACCCGAGUAGCGCCGAACACGAGGAAUUCGGCGUGAAUCUGCCCGGACCACCGGGUAAGGCUAAAUACGACUUGUCACCGAUAGUGCAACCAGUACCGUGAGGGAAAGGUGAAAAGCACCCCGGGAGGGGAGUGAAAUAGACCCUGAAACCGCGACACCCAUAAACAGUCAGAGCACUAUGACCGGAGCGAUCCGGCCACGUGUAAUGGCGUACCUUUUGCAGAAUGAGCCUGCGAGUUGUUGGUACCGGCAAGGUUAAGGAUUUCAGAUCCGCAGCCGGAGGGAAACCGAGUCCGAAUAGGGCGUCAAGUCGGUAUCAGCAGACCCGAAACUGCGUGAUCUAGCCAUGGCCAGGCUGAAGUGGUGGUAACACACCAUGGAGGGCCGAACCAAUUAACGUUGAAAAGUUACUGGAUGAGUUGUGGUUAGUCCGGUGAAAUGCCAAUCGAACGCAGAAAUAGCUGGUUCUCCCCGAAAUGCAUUUGGGUGCAGCGUUACGUGAUGUCGUUUGGGGGUAGAGCACUGAAUGGGCUAGGGGGCCUACCAGCUUACCGAACCCAACCAAACUCCGAAUACCAAACGAUUAACGUAGCAGUGAGACUGCGAGGGAUAAGCUUCGUAGUCGAGAGGAUAACAGUCCAGACCCACAGCUAAGGGCCCUAAGCGUGUGCUAAGUGUGAAACGAUGUGAGGUCGCGUAAACAGCCAGGAGGUUGGCUUGGAAGCAGCCACCCUUUAAAAAGUGCGUAACAGCUUACUGGCCGAAUGUGACUUCGCGCGGAAAAUGUAAGGGGGCUUAAGCACACCCCCGAAGCUUGGGGAUUCCGGAGCAAUCCGGGAUCGGUAGGGGAGCGUCGGGCGCGCAGCGAAGCCGUAGCGUAAGCAGCGGUGGAGCGCGUUCGAGUGAGAAUGCAGGCAUGAGUAGCGAUUACAGAGGUGAGAAUCCUCUGCGCCGAAAACCUAAGGUUUCUCCGGCCAUGUUCGUCAGACGGAGGUUAGGCGGCACCUAAGGCGAGGCCAGAAGGCGUAGCCGAUGGAGAUCGGGUUGAUAUUCCCGACCCAGGUAUGUAAGGUUAGGAAGGACGCUUCUCAAGGUUCCAUCCCACACCGUUGGUUGUUGUGGGCUACCAGAAGGCUGGGUCCUGUGUAAGCAGGACGGAAAGGCUGACUGGGGGGAAGGAAACUCUUCGGAGGGACUGAACUGGGACUGAGGGGGGCCGAGAAAAGCUCCUAUCUAUAAAUAUCUGACCGUACUGCAAACCGACACAGGUAGGUGAGUCGAGGAGACUAAGGCGUUCGAGAGAACUCUCGUUAAGGAACUAGGCAAACGAGCCCCGUAAGUUCGCGAUAAGGGGCGCUCCGAAUUUCGGAGCCGCAGCGAAGCAGCCCAGGCGACUGUUUACCAAAAACACAGGUCUCUGCUAAGGUGAAAACCGAAGUAUAGGGGCUGACGCCUGCCCAUGAAUGGCGGCCGUAACUCUAACGGUCCUAAGGUAGCGAAAUUCCUUGUCGGCUAAAUACCGACCCGCAUGAAAGGCGUAACGACUUGGGCACUGUCUCAACGAGAAGCUCGGUGAAAAUGUAGCACCCGUGAAGAUGCGGGUUCCGCGCAGUAGGACGGAAAGACCCCGUGGAGCUUUACUACACCUUAAGAUUGCGAAUUGGGUGUAGAUGUAGAGUGUAGGUGGGAGCUUCGGCGCCAAUGGAACACCACCCUUCUGCAUCUGGUUCGCUAACCUGUACCCUGAUCGGGUAUGGAGACCGUCUUAGGCGGGUAGUUUGACUGGGGCGGUCGCCUCCCAAAUUGUAACGGAGGCGCUCAAAGUUCCCCUCAGGCUGGUUGGAAAUCAGCCGUCGAGCGUAUACGUAUAGAGGGGGAUUGACUGCGAGACCUACAAGUCGAGCAGGGACGAAAGUCGGAGUAAGUGACCCUCUGGUGGUGCGUGGGCACGCCAGGGUUCAUCGGAUAAAAGCUACCCCGGGGAUAACAGGCUGAUCUUGCCCGAGCGCUCAUAGCGACGGCAUGGUUUGGCACCUCGAUGUCGGCUCGUCACAUCCUGGGGCUGUACAAGGUCCCAAGGGUUCCGGAGUUCACGGAUUAAAGUGGCACGCGAGCUGGGUUCAGAACGGCGUAAGCCAGUUCGGUCCCUAUCCACUGUGCGCGUAGGAAAUUUGAGGGGAGUCGCUCUUAGUACGAGAGGACCGGAGCGAACUGACCUCUGGUGUACCUGUUGUGCCGCCAGGCGCAGACGCAGGGUAGCCACGUCGGGAAGUGAUAAGCGCUGAAAGCAUCUAAGCGCCAAGCACACCCCAAGAUUAGAUUUCCCACUUAGGGUAAGGCCCCCGGUAGACCACCGGGUUGAUAGGCCGCAGGUGUAAGCAUGGCGACAUGUUCAGCUAAGCGGUACUAAUUGGCCGAGGGCUUAUCGAAA
rnacentral:rRNA from 1 species